UUGCAGUCAUAUCGCGUUGAAACACCUAUUCUCGUACGAUCACCAAAGUUAAGCCACGUCGAGCCUGGUCAGUAUCUAGAUGGGUGACUACUUGAGGAUACCAGG